ensembl:snoRNA
UUGUCAGAAAUGAUGAAUAUCUUCAUGUCUCUUCUCUGACUGUUUGGUGAAGAGAUUGUUUUGAUAUCUGAUCUUCAUGGAUUCAG